rnacentral:lncRNA from 1 species
UUGUUACAAUGUUAACUUUGUGGUUCAAACCUGAUGUUGCUUUCCUCUGUUUUCUCAGGUUCUUGAGAUCUAGUUCUUUGAAAUAGUCUGGAAAAGUUUCGGGCGAUAUCCUCCUGCCAUGAACUUUGUCUUUUCAUGUUUGACAUAACAGUUCUGAAACAGUCACAUCUGGACAAGGAGUUGAAUAGCUCGAGUCCCUGAAGUGACCCACGAUAUUAUUUUUGGAAAACUACAGUUUCGUACAUUCUUUCAUGUCUCGACUCAUUAUGGACGUAAUGUGCUCUACUCCAGUCCAACCCCUACAACGCUGUAGCAAUAGGAAAUGGAGGAGGAGCUAUUUGGCAUAUUCAAAUGAUAUGUCAUACAGUAGAAGUAUGGUAGCGUGGGCAUGCUUGCUUGCCCCAGUAUCUGUGCGGUAUGCCGCGUUCAUAUACUAGUCGGAACUAGGAAACUGACAUUUCCGACUUUCUUUUUCAUUCAAACGUGGCACGCUUGUAACUACAACCAGGUUCAAGUCAGAAAUGUUUGAGAUUCCAAGUUCCGACUAGCAGUUGAACAAGGCAUUAACGAUGUCGACGAUGAGUAAGUAUAACGCGCCUCCUCUACUGUCGUGUUCAAAACAACUGAGAAUUGGAAACUCGGAAAUCUCCGAGUUCAGGAAGUUCAAGACAACUGGGAACUCAGGAAGAAAACAAGCUCUGACUAGGAAAACUAAUGGUCAUCCAACUCGGAACUCCAAGUCGGAAACUCUAGCAUCUUUAGAGCUCUGACUUUCCGACCUGAAGAUCACUGAAGUCAUUAUAGCCUAUGACCUCGUUUUUUUCUGAGUUUUCAUGGUGCUUUCAAGACAAAUGGGAACUCAGAAAAGAACGAGGUCAAAUCAUGACGUCGGUAAUCUUCAGAUUGGAGCUCUAGAAAGAUGCCAGAGUUUCCGACUCGGAAUUCCAAGUUGGAUGAUCGUUGAAAAAUAUUUUUCCCAGUCUGAGCUUGUUUUUUUCCGAGUUCUCUGUUGUCUUGAACGCACUGAAGUCGGAAAUUUCCGAGUUCUCAGUUGUUUUGAACGGUGCACCAGUUGUAUUGAAAGCGCCAUAACGCCCAGGAAGCUCCAAUUCAAACGUCCAUUCAACAGGGAAAGGGCUUUAAGGACAGACCUGAUACCCAACCCGAUAACAAACACAUUAGCUCAGGGUUAAUGGUUUGGUAAAGGACAAUGACCCAACACACCUCCAGGCGGUGUAAGGGCUAUUUUACCAAGAAGGAGAGUGAUGGAGUGCUACAUCAGGUGACCUGGCCUCCACAAUCCCC